rnacentral:rRNA from 1 species
GAACUUAGCUUAGUGGCGGACGGGUGAGUAACGCGUGAGUAACCUGCCUUUCAGAGGGGGAUAACGUUCUGAAAAGAACGCUAAUACCGCAUAAUAUAUUGGUGUCGCAUGGCACCGGUAUCAAAGGAGCAAUCCGCUGAAAGAUGGACUCGCGUCCGAUUAGCCAGUUGGCGGGGUAAAGGCCCACCAAAGCGACGAUCGGUAGCCGGGUUGAGAGACUGAACGGCCACAUUGGGACUGAGACACGGCCCAGACUCCUACGGGAGGCAGCAGUGGGGGAUAUUGCACAAUGGAGGAAACUCUGAUGCAGCAAUGCCGCGUGAGGGAAGACGGUCUUCGGAUUGUAAACCUCUGUCCUUGGUGAAGAUAAUGACGGUAGCCAAGGAGGAAGCUCCGGCUAACUACGUGCCAGCAGCCGCGGUAAUACGUAGGGAGCAAGCGUUGUCCGGAUUUACUGGGUGUAAAGGGUGCGUANGCGGCUCUUUAAGUCGGGCGUGAAAGCUGUGGGCUUAACCCACAAAUUGCGUUCGAAACUGGAGGGCUUGAGUGAAGUAGAGGUAGGNGGAAUUCCC